CGGCCCAUGGUUGCAGGGGUCGUGGUUGCGGCCAGGCACCCAGGAGUCAGGGGCCAGGUCGCAGCUGCGACCCCUGCGACCAUGGU